GUGUGUUCCAGGUAAAUCCGGUUCACUUUAACACUGAGGCGUGAUGACGAGGCACUACGGUGCUGAAGCAACAAAUGCCCUGCUUCCAGGAAAAGCCUCUAAGCAUCAGGUAACAUCAAAUCGUACCCCAAACCGACACAGGUGGUCAGGUAGAGAAUACCAAGGCGCUUGAGAGAACUCGGGUGAAGGAACUAGGCAAAAUGGUGCCGUAACUUCGGGAGAAGGCACGCUGACACGUAGGUGAAGUGAUUUACUCAUGGAGCUGAAGUCAGUCGAAGAUACCAGCUGGCUGCAACUGUUUAUUAAAAACACAGCACUGUGCAAACACGAAAGUGGACGUAUACGGUGUGACGCCUGCCCGGUGCCGGAAGGUUAAUUGAUGGGGUCAGCGCAAGCGAAGCUCCUGAUCGAAGCCCCGGUAAACGGCGGCCGUAACUAUAACGGUCCUAAGGUAGCGAAAUUCCUUGUCGGGUAAGUUCCGACCUGCACGAAUGGCGUAAUGAUGGCCAGGCUGUCUCCACCCGAGACUCAGUGAAAUUGAACUCGCUGUGAAGAUGCAGUGUACCCGCGGCAAGACGGAAAGACCCCGUGAACCUUUACUAUAGCUUGACACUGAACAUUGAGCCUUGAUGUGUAGGAUAGGUGGGAGGCUUUGAAGCGUGGACGCCAGUCUGCGUGGAGCCGACCUUGAAAUACCACCCUUUAAUGUUUGAUGUUCUAACGUGGACCCGUAAUCCGGGUUGCGGACAGUGUCUGGUGGGUAGUUUGACUGGGGCGGUCUCCUCCUAAAGAGUAACGGAGGAGCACGAAGGUUGGCUAAUCCUGGUCGGACAUCAGGAGGUUAGUGCAAUGGCAUAAGCCAGCUUGACUGCGAGCGUGACGGCGCGAGCAGGUGCGAAAGCAGGUCAUAGUGAUCCGGUGGUUCUGAAUGGAAGGGCCAUCGCUCAACGGAUAAAAGGUACUCCGGGGAUAACAGGCUGAUACCGCCCAAGAGUUCAUAUCGACGGCGGUGUUUGGCACCUCGAUGUCGGCUCAUCACAUCCUGGGGCUGAAGUAGGUCCCAAGGGUAUGGCUGUUCGCCAUUUAAAGUGGUACGCGAGCUGGGUUUAGAACGUCGUGAGACAGUUCGGUCCCUAUCUGCCGUGGGCGCUGGAGAACUGAGGGGGGCUGCUCCUAGUACGAGAGGACCGGAGUGGACGCAUCACUGGUGUUCGGGUUGUCAUGCCAAUGGCACUGCCCGGUAGCUAAAUGCGGAAGAGAUAAGUGCUGAAAGCAUCUAAGCACGAAACUUGCCCCGA
rnacentral:rRNA from 1 species